rnacentral:rRNA from 1 species
UACGUAGGAGACGAGCGUUGUCCGGAAUUACUGGGCGUAAAGCGCGUGUAGGCGGAUGAGCAAGUCUGCUGUGAAAGCUCCUGGCUUAACCGGGAGUGGUCGGUGGAAACUGCUCGUCUGGAGGACGGUAGAGGUAGGUAGAAUUCCCGGUGUAGUGGUGAAAUGCGCAGAUAUCAGGAGGAACACCAAUUGCGAAGGCAGCUCGCUGGGACGUUACUGACGCUGAGACGCGAAAGCGUGGGGAGCAAACAGG